UACGAAGGGGGCUAGCGUUGUUCGGAAUUACUGGGCGUAAAGGGCGCGUAGGCGGAUAUUUAAGUUAGAGGUGAAAGCCCAGGGCUCAACCCUGGAAUAGCCUUUAAUACUGGAUAUCUUGAGUUCGGGAGAGGUGAGUGGAACUCCGAGUGUAGAGGUGAAAUUCGUAGAUAUUCGGAAGAACACCAGUGGCGAAGGCGACUCACUGGCCCGAUACUGACGCUGAGGCGCGAAAGCGUGGGGAGCAAACAGG
rnacentral:rRNA from 1 species